CACUGGUUGAGAGCUGACGUCACUCUCCUAAUGAGUGCAAGGCAAGACGAAACUAGUG
rnacentral:sRNA from 1 species